rnacentral:rRNA from 1 species
UAUUGGGUUUAAAGGGUGCGUAGGCGGCUUUUUAAGUCAGCGGUGAAAGCCGGUCGCUCAACGAUCGAACUGCCGUUGAUACUGAUUAGCUUGAGUUUGAUUGAGGCAGCCGGAAUGGAUAGUGUAGCGGUGAAAUGCAUAGAUAUUAUCCAGAACGCCAAUAGCGUAGGCAGGUUGCUAAGUCAUAACUGACGCUGAGGCACGAGAGUGCGGGGAUCAAACAGGAUUAGAUACCCUGGUAGUCCGCACCGUAAACGAUGAAUACUAGCUGUCGGCCUUUCGAGGUCGGUGGCACAGGGAAACCGUUAAGUAUUCCACCUGGGGAGUACGCCGGCAACGGUGAAACUCAAAGGAAUUGACGGGGGCCCGCACAAGCGGGAACACCAGUGGCGAAGGCGCUCUGCUGGACCGCAACUGACACUCAUGGACGAAAGCUAGGGGAGCGAAAGGGAUUAGAUACCCCUGUAGUCCUAGCCGUAAACGAUGAACACUAGGUGUUGGACGUAUCGACCCGUUCAGUGCCGUAGCCAACGCGUUAAGUGUUCCGCCUGGGGAGUACGCACGCAAGUGUGAAACUCAAAGGAAUUGACGGGGG